AUUGAACGCUGGCGGCAGGCCUAACACAUGCAAGUCGAGCGGAGCGGCGGAAGGGGAAGUACUGACUGGGGAUCUGCCUGGUAGUGGGGGAUCACGUCGGGAAACGGGAGCUAAUAAAGCAUACUAUAAGGUGAGCCUAGGUCGGAUUAGCUAGUUGGUGGGGUAAAGGCCUACCAAGGCGACGAUCCGUCACUGGUCUGAGAGUAUGAUCAGUCACACUGGAACUUAGACACGGGCCAGACUCCUACGUGAGGCAGCAGUGGGGAAUAUUGGACAAUGGGCGAAAGCCUGAUCCAGCCAUGCCGCGUGUGUGAAGAAGGUCUUCGGAUUGUAAAGCACUUUAAGUUGGGAGGCGUUACCAACAGAAUAAGCACCGGCUAACUUCGUGCCAGCAGCCGCGGUAAUAC
rnacentral:rRNA from 1 species